AAAUAAAUUAUUCCUCUGACCAAAAGUGUUUUUUUUAAUAAGACAUUCUCCAAAUUCUGAACAAAAUAUUAAAGACUUUCUAGAGUCUUGUUCCUAGACACCCUUCCUGCCUUAUCUCUUAUGUCCCAUCAUUAUACAUGCUGUUCUCCACAUACAUUAUUUUUGCAUUAUUCUUUGCUAUUCCCAAGCUUAAAAUGCCCUCUCAUUACUGCCUUCUCGAAUUCUAUUCAGAGCACCAUUCAAAUGCUUUCUUAAAUGUGGAGCUUUCCCAAACCCUGAAAUAAAUGUACAUGGUGUCUCUUCAAUGUCUCAAAUGCUUGAUUAGGUGGACACAGAUAAUUGGUUUAUUAACUAUUUACAAAAUGUACAUAUAAGCUGUAUGUACUUUUCUAAAUAUGAAUUAUAUCUAACAAUAAGAAGUAUUUAAAUAAAAUAGUUAUACUUUUGCAACCUAAUCAAGCCCCGUAUUACCCUGACCUACCUUACCCAGUAAACUCUUUGAAGGCCCAUUGUGGUAGUCUUUACUUCCCUCAAUAUGCCAUACAUAUAAGCAUUGAAUAAUUUCUCUGAUAAAUACUCUCAUUAUGGGAGUUGACUCAUAUGAAGACCACCUCCCACUAAAGUAUACAGAACAACAUACACACAAAUGAGUUCAUGUAUAAUUGGUGAACUCUGAACAAGCUCUGUGGAUUGUACCCAUCCCCAUUUUCUCACGGUUAUUGUACUAUAGUUAUGCAAGAUGUCCAACAGUGGGGGAGGAGGGGAAGGGUACACAGUGGAGGGUGCUGCGACCUCCCUUUACAUCACCUUGCAACUUCCUGUAAGUCUAAUUACUUCAAAAUAAAAAGGUUUUCUAAUGAAGGUGUAGAGAAAUGGAUGUACUUGCUAGUAGUAAAACAGUACAAUAUGCUAACAGUAUGCAGUAUGUCAUGAAAGAUUCUAAGGAUGUUAUAUCGUUUAAUCUAAUAAACCUACUUCUACGAAUUUAUCCUCAGUGUUUACCUGGACACAGUGCCCCAAAGAUAGGUGCAGGUAGUCCAUCACAGCACUGUUUAUAUGUGUCUAUAACAGAAAACAAACUCUCCAGUAGUAGGAGAGUAGCCCAAUAAAUGAGGCUAUAUCUAAAAAGUAAAAUACUAUGCAAAUCUUCCAACUGACAAUAUGAGAAAGUUGUUACAUGGUUUAAGAAUUAUUUCAAAAUAAGUAUAGCAUCUGAUUUUUAAAGAUGUACAGUACAGGCAUUUCUGUGUUAUAGAUGCACAGAAAAGUGCCUAGGUCAAUGCCAAAUUUUAGGAAGUACCUCGGGUUGGUGAAAUUAAGGGUUUGUUUUCGUUUUAAGAGAUGGGGUCUCCUUUUUUAGUGCCAUCUGCUUGCGGUGCCACCUCCUGCUCCUCCUACUGCAGCUGCCACCCUGAGUCACUGCCCGCACAGCUCUAGCCACCUGGCUCCCCAUACUAGCCACCAACAUUUGGAGUUCUUACAACAUGGCAGACACUGACAACCUGCCUACGGUAGUUAAAAGACGAGUGAAUGCUCUCAACAACCUGCAAGUUAAAUGUGCACAGACAGAAGCCAAAUUCUAGGAGGAAGUUCAAGAUCUUGAAAGGAAGUAUGCUGUUCUAUAUCAGCCUUUAUUUGAUAAGCAAUUUGAGAUUAUUAAUGCAAUUUAUGAACCUAUGGAAGAAAAAUGUGAACAGAAACCAGAUGACGAUGAGAUUUUGGAGGAGUUGAAAGAAAAGGCCAAGAUUAAAGAUGAGAAAAAGGAUGAAGAAAAAGAAGACCCUAAAGGAAUUCCUGAAUUUUGGUUAACUGUUUUUAAGAAUGUUGACUUGCUCAGUGAUAUGGUUCAGGAACAUGAUGAACCUAUUCUGAAGCACUUGAAAGAUAUUAAAGUGAAAGUCUCCGAAGCUGGCCAGCCUAUGAGUUUUCUUAGAAUUUCAUUUUGAGCCCAAUGAAUAUUUUACAAAUGAAGUACUGACAAAGACAUAUAGUAUGAGGUCAGAGCAGAUGAUUCUCAUCCCUUUUCUUUUGAUAGACCAGAAAUUAUGGGCUGUGCAGGGUUCCAGAUAGAUUGGUAAAAAGGAAAGAAUGUCACUUUGAAAACCAUUAAGCAGCAGCAGAAACACAAGGGACAUGGGACAGUUCAUACUGUGAUUAAAACAGUUUCCAAUGACGCUUUAAUUUUUUUUUUCCUCCUGAAGUUCCUGAGAAUGGAGAUCUGGAUGAUGAUGCUGAAGCUAUCUUUGCUGCAGUCUUUGAAAUUGGUCACUUUUUACAUGAGCAUAUAAUCCCAAGAUCAGUGUUAUACUUUACUAGAGAAGCUAUUGAAGAUGAUGAUGAUGAUGAUGAUGAUGAUGAAGGUGAUGAAGGUGAAGAAGCAGAUGAGAAAGGGGAAGAAGGAGAUGAGGAAAAUGAUCCAGACUCUGACCCAAAGGAUCAAAAUGCAGCAAAAUGCAAACAGCAGUGAAGCAAGAAGUAUGUGGCCUUGAGGAUAACCUGCACUGUCAUAGCCUAAACACAACUCUUAUUUACUUACAGCCUUUUGUAUUUUCUUGGUAGAGAGGGUAAUUUUAUUUUAAAGACAAGAAACUGAUAUUUUAAAGACCAAUUUGUUCUAAUUAGCAUUUUAACUAGUUUUUCUGCCAAAUAUGUUGAAUGCACAAAUUCUGUAACACGUUUCAUUCAUCGCUGCAUAAUUUGGUUCUUCUGGAAUAUUUUUAUGUAGCUCUUGGAGUACAGCUAUGAAAAUGUCAAGUGUUAAAAGGAAACCUUUUUUUUUUUUUUUUUUUCAUAAUUUUUUCCCUGAAGAACGAAAGUAUUUUUUCAACUGGUUGUUGAAUAUGGUUAAGUCCACUUGGAUUAGCUGUGCCUUUCAUUACUCUGUUACAGAAACACAGUGACUUAUAUAAGACAAUUCAUCGUUUUAAAUAAACAACUGGUAAGACAACUGUAUGGUUAAGAAUUUCCAGUAUGACCACACCCAAUAAGUAUAUUUAAUGGAGUAUUGUGUUAAAAGUGACAUAGUUAACUAUAAAGUAACCUGACUCAGUAUAGUUACUGGUACCACAGUGAGGUGAAUAAAACAGGAUUUUCAGAAGUUAGCCUGAAUUUAACUGUACUUUUAAAUUUAACCUCCAUUAAACUAAGCAUCUUUUCUUUGUGGCAAUGUCUACCUUCUGCUUUCCUGAAAAGGAAGAAUUUAUAUCAUUUGACAAGCCUAUUCAUUGUUUGCUUGUUUUUGGUUUUGCAGCCUAAAAUAAAAAUUUCAAAUACAAUUUUAGUUCUUACAAGAUAUAGUGUCUUAAUUUUGUACCAAUUCAGGUAGAAGCAGAGGCCUAGCUUGAAUUAAGGGUUAUACUCAGUUUUUACCAUAUUAUUGAAGAAAAGGGUACCAGCUUUGGAAAGAGAUACUAUACUAAUAAGCAAAUGU